GCUUUGGCGCUUUAGCUGUAUGA
rnacentral:miRNA from 4 species